UACGGAGGAUGCGAGCGUUAUCCGGAUUUAUUGGGUUUAAGGGUGCGUAGGCGGGCUUUUAAGUCAGCGGUAAAAAUUCGGGGCUCAACCCCGUCCGGCCGUUGAAACUGGGGGUCUUGAGUGGGCGAGAAGAAGGCGGAAUGCGUGGUGUAGCGGUGAAAUGCAUAGAUAUCACGCAGAACCCCGAUUGCGAAGGCAGCCUUCCGGCGCCCUACUGACGCUGAGGCACGAAAGUGCGGGGAUCGAACAGG
rnacentral:rRNA from 1 species